CGGGAAGCCGUGUGCUGCUCCGUGCCUACGGGGGACGUGUUCGAAUGGAAUAACCCCCCUCGCUGUGCUCUCCUCGCUCGCCUUUUCUUAGCAGAACCACACUGCUGCUGUUGUUAACGCGCGGUACCGCCGCGCCGUAGCGCUUGAUAACACCCUGUAUGAGUGCUCCAGCAGAGCAUUGUCGGCACUGCAUGCCCGCCGGGACGGGGGGCUGCGUGAUAGAGGCCAGGCCCAUGGCGUCUGCCAAGCCACCCCCGCUGCAUCAGCAGGAUGAGCCCGGCCAUUGUUGAGCUGCAAUCGUUGGGAAUUUGAUGUGGCCUCUUCCUUGUCAAAGCCCCAGUGAAUGCGGUUAUGUGAUGCCAUCAAAAUGACUCAUUGCCAUAAUUACAUAUGUUCUAAGGGGUUAUUCCCAUUGUAUUAUUAAAAAGUAGUGAGGUUUGAUUUUUGGCAGGGAGCAUCUUCCUUGUAUGAUCUACAGAUUUUGUCAAUUAAAUGAAGGGAAAAUAGAUUUCCAAGACUUUAGAACAAGACUGGACUUGUACUCAGAGAAGUUUUUCAGUGUGGUAUUGAGCGACUUUGUUUUAUUUUAAUAGGCAACAUCAGCCAUCUUACUCUCGCUGUUGCAGUGGUUCCCUGCAGAGUACAAAGGCAGAACUGGCUUCCAGAGCUGCCUUUCAAAACCUUUCAAAGCACUAGCAGAGGGUACCUUGGACUGUUUAACACCCAAUCCAUUUUGGCAGG